GUGCCAGCAGCCGCGGUGAUACGGAGGGUGCAAGCGUUAAUCGGAAUAACUGGGCGUAAAGGGCAUGCAGGCGGUUCAUCAAGUAGGAUGUGAAAUCCCCGGGCUCAACCUGGGAACAGCAUACUAAACUGGUGGACUAGAGUAUUGCAGGGGGAGACGGAAUUCCAGGUGUAGCGGUGGAAUGCGUAGAUAUCUGGAAGAACACCAAAGGCGAAGGCAGUCUCCUGGGCAAAUACUGACGCUCAUAUGCGAAAGCGUGGGUAGCAAACAGGAUUAGAUACCCUGGUAGUCCACGCCGUAAACGAUGUCAAUUAGGAGCUUGGGGGUUCCGCAGCUAACGCAAUAAAUUGACCGCCUGGGGAGUACGGCCGCAAGGUUAAAACUCAAAUGAAUUGACGGGGGCCCGCACAAGCGGUGGAGCAUGUGGUUUAAUUCGACGCAACGCGAAGAACCUUACCUGAUCUUGACAUCCAGGUGCUGCAUGGCUGUCGUCAGCUCGUGUCGUGAGAUGUUGGGUUAAGUCCCGCAACGAGCGCAACCCUUGUCCUUUGUUGCAACUCAAAGGAGACUGCCAGUGACAAACUGGAGGAAGGCAGGGAUGACGUCAAGUCAUCAUGGCCCUUACGGUCAGGGCUACACACGUGCUACAAUGGGGCGUAC
rnacentral:rRNA from 1 species